GAACUCUCGAGCCAUGAUCAAAGGAAAUGGAUAAAAAUAAAAAUAUCUAUUACAAGCUGAAGAGAAAAUUCUAAAUUUCGUCCACGUGACGUUCGUUCGAGACACGAAGGUAAUUCAUCGAGCCACGAACAUUAGAGAGGAUCGUUGUAUCGCUGUGAAGCAUCACAGAAGCCUGUAUCUCCCCCAGAGACGACAUCGAAUGCAUAAAAGACAGGGACUUUCGAAGGAACCGAAAAGAUCUGUUCGCGUAGCCUGCUCCGUCAAGGUCCUCUCCGUGAAAGAACGAUGACCGAAACGAGAGAGACAGGGAACGAGAGAGUGAGGGUAGAACAAACCGGGAAGAGACGAGAGGAGAGAAAGAAAGAAAUGAAGAGAGCGAGAGAAAAAGGGAGACGGAGAAAGAAAUAAGCUUACAGAGAGGAGGCAGGGACGAAGGUUCCCACAAAAGACUAGCAAACGCUAUCGGGCCGAUCUCAGGGCUCACGUACCUACACACUUUGUUCCCUUGCAGAGGCCGUGGAAAACCGCCACGGAUCGACUCACUGGGUCGAAUGUCCUCGAGCAACGAUAUCACUGACAACGUCACAAGGCGAGCAACUCAACGGCACAUCACCAUCAGUGUCCAUCACAUGCGUAGCCGUGCCGCUCGUUCUACUUACUGGGAGUAUCCGAACUGGGUGAAGAAGAAAAAAAAAAGAAGAAAAAAAAGGAAAAAAAAAUAGAAAACGGCCACGAGGCUCGUCACGGGUAUCGCGAGAGACGGUUUCGAGAGCGGAGCACACCAGGCCGGAGUGCGAUAACAAAUUUAAACGUAAUAACGAUGACGAGCACGACGACGAGAAUACCGGCAACCACGCGCGUUCCUUCUUUUCGCGACGCCACGAAAGAAUCUCGCGUUUUACGGGGCAACCGGAGUGUGUCCCGUGGAGCUAGCCGCCGAUUCCCGGCGCGGGAGGAUGCAAGGACAAAGAGACGAAAAAACGUCUGGUCGAAGCAGAGGGGGUAGCCCUCUAGCGAGAGAGAGGGAGAUACGGCGAGGGAAGGAGAGCAGAGAGGGUAAGAAGAAGGAAAGAGAGCAGCGACCAGCCGGCCGAAGAAAGAACGAGCUGUGGUCGGAGGGAACGAGGGAAACGAAGACGGCCUGAGAGAGAAAAAAGAGAGAGGAGAGAAGAGAGAAAGAGAGAGAAAGAGAGAGAGAGAGAGACGAGAUAGCCGGUGACACACGGAUGCAGCGCGGCGUAACGAUAUCGAGUGGAGGUCCCCGCGGAAUGCACCGUGGCGACGUACCGUGGAGAGAAAGACCACACAGAGUGUACCGAUUGGACGGAAACGAGGCGAGGAGGAAGAGGCAGGGAAACAGAACGACGACACUCGGGUGUAGAGUCAAGUAUGCGCGAACUUGGUGUAAACGGGCGAGACUAAACGCGUCCCGAUGAGCAGGCGAAAUUGGCGCGUCUAGGUGCGGGAACAAGCACUGAGCGAUACUGAACCGGUAGAAGGGAAAGAAGAAUAGGCACGGGAGAAGCGAUAUGCGGACGAGACGGCGCGGUGCAACGAUAUCGAGUGGAGAUCCCCGCGGAAUGCAUCGUGGCCGGCGCGACGACGAGAACGCGAGAGGGAGAGAAACGGAGAGAAAAAGAAGGGAAGAUUGGGAGAGUGAGCGAGAGAGAGAGAGAGAGGAAGGGAAGGAGAGAGAGAGAGAGAGAGAGAGAGAGAAAGGCAGGGACGCCCUAGAGAGGCAAGUAUGCGCGCGAAGAGAGACCUUCGUGUAUACCUUGUGUCGUAUACUCAGACUACCGAGUCACUCGCUUGCCGGAUACACACAAUGACGGAAGAGAGUAGCGUACCAGCAGUCGACGACGGCGUCGGCGGCGGCGCUCUGCAGUGCGUCGGCCCGCUGACCUUGACACUGACAUUGACUGAGCAAGCGACUGGAAGAGA